rnacentral:rRNA from 1 species
AUUGAACGCUGGCGGCAUGCUUUACACAUGCAAGUCGGACGAGUGGCGAACGGGUGAUUAACGCAUCGGAACGUACCGAGGAGUGGGGGAUAACUGACCGAAAGGAAAGCUAAUACCGCCUAUUAUUCGAGCGGCCGGUGUCUGAUUAGCGGGUUGGCGGGGUAAGGGCCCACCAAGGCGACGAUCAGUAGCUGGUCUGAGAGGAUGAUCAGCCACACUGGGACUGAGACACGGCCCAGACUCCUACGGGAGGCAGCAGUGGGGAAUAUUGCGCAAUGGGGGCAACCCUGACGCAGCCAUGCCGCGUGAAGGAAGAAGGCCUUCGGGUUGUAAAGUUCUUUUGGUGAGGAGGCGUUACCCACAGAAGAAGCACCGGCUAACUCCGUGCCAGCAGCCGCGGUAAUAC